rnacentral:rRNA from 2 species
UACGUAGGUGGCAAGCGUUGUCCGGAUUUAUUGGGUUUAAAGGGUGCGUAGGCGGCUUUGUAAGUCAGUGGUGAAAUAUGGCAGCUCAACUGUCAGGGUGCCAUUGAUACUGCAGAGCUUGAGUACAGAUGAGGUAGGCGGAAUUGACGGUGUAGCGGUGAAAUGCUUAGAUAUCGUCAAGAACACCGAUAGCGAAGGCAGCUUACUGGGCUGUAACUGACGCUGAGGCACGAAAGUGUGGGGAUCAAACAGG